rnacentral:lncRNA from 1 species
GAUAGUAGGCCGAAUGUCACAUAGAGAUAGUGUGACCUUUGUGCUCAAGUGAGCUCCAACUAGAGAACCUUUAGGUCACUAAUGGGCUAUUAGACGUGGCUAGGCCAUGGUCUGUGAUUUUAUGUGGCAAUGCCACGGGUUGUUAUACGUGGUAAGUGAUAAUUCUAUUUUAUAGAAUUAUUUUAGUUCAAUUUUGUCAUCAAAUAUUAGCUAAGUCCUCAAUUUUCAAUUAUAAUUUACUUAUUUUUAGUGGUUUUUAUAAUUAGGUUACUUUAGUUAGUUAUUUUAAUUUUAUGUUAUUCCUUUCAAUUUGGUUAUUAUUUAUUAGUUUUUAUAUUUUUUGUAGGAUGAAAAGUGAUUGGGCUUAAUUUUGAAAAGUAAGGUGUUGAAAGACCUAAGAUCUGGGUCCAUAUGCUUCAGUAUUUUGGCCAUAUCUUGAGCUACAGAACUCCAAAUGAUGGAUUCUUAGGCCAUUGGAAAGCUAAGAGACAGAGCUACAACUUUUAUGAAGAUCACUUUGCCCAGUUCUGCCUCGAGGAUAGAGAAAAUUGUGUCAGAAUAUAGCUAGAUGUAUUGUGAUGGGAACGAAAAUUUGUAAAGAUUGACAAUUGAUUUUUUGGGCCUCUCAUUACACUUUUUAUCCCAAUUAAACCCUAGGUCAGCUUAAGGAACUUUAGGUUAAGCUUAUUAGUAUAAAUAGGAUAUGUUUAACAACAUUAGGGGAGACAACCCUUAGAAAUUCAAAAAGCUAGAAGUUAAGGCUGAAACUUGGAGAUCAAGGUGGCAAAUAUUGUUUUGUUUUCUUCCUUGGCUUUUAUUGUUCUUGUUACUUUCAAUGGUUGAAUUUUAUACAAUGUUAUUUUAUUUUGUAAUUAUGAGUAGCUAAUCUUCUUUUUCUAGGAUUGCAAUUGAACUCACAUGUAAUCUAAGUUUUUAAUCUCUUUCUUACUUAUUUUUAAUGGGAUUUGAAUUAUUUAUUCCAAUUUGUUCUUAAUGCUUUUAAUUGCUUGGCCACUAAUUAAAUUGAUCUAGGAACCUAAACAAACUUGGAAAUGGAGUUUAGUGUAGACUAAAAUUAGGAUAGCAUAUGAUCAUAUUAAUUGAUUUGCGUAUAGGAUAGGGAUAUACCUAUAGGCCAUAUGUAGCCAGAUUAGAACUUGAACUUAAUGAAUCUAUUUUAAUUUCAAUUCACAUAGGGAUAUAGUAUUUUGGUUAAAAUAGAUAUUUUUUUAAGAUGAGUCGGGAGACCCUUAUAAAUAAUUUAGGACUCUAGGUUAGCAAUUCAACCCAUUGAAAUAAGUUAAGGAAGACAUGUAAGAUUUAGAUGAAGUGUGAGGGAUAUUGUAAUCCUAAGCUUGUUUGAUUUGAUAUUUUCUUUAGUUAUUAUUCUUUUUUAUUUUUCUUGUUGGUUUAAAUUUUAGUUUAUUAGUUUAGUUGAUCAAUUAAUUUUGAGUGUUUAAAUAAGAUUAAAUUGUUCUAAUCUUAUUACUUAGUAAAAUUUUAUAUUAAUUCCCUGUGGGAUCGAUACUCUGCUUGCUAAUAUACUAUCUAUUCGAUACGUAUACUUGCGUAGUAGGAUUUUAACUGACAGUAGGGUCGCAAGUUGAUAUACGUGGUUGCAACCACAUUAUUUCUCCAAUAUCGGCCAACAUCGUCGAGACUGCCAUGGCAGUGGGAAUCCGGUGGAAAAGGGCCUCCCGGAUUGUUAUUACGUGAAAAAGGUCCAUGGAUUGAUUAUCUACAAUUAACUACUCUAGAGCCUUGUGAGUUUUUAGACUCGUACUCUUUUGCAUGGUGGAGAGUUAAUGUUUUUCCGCAGCUCUCCUAUUUGAUUGAAAGCUUUCAGUCCUUUAUAAGUUGAUUAUGAGUUGAUAUACGUGGAUGUACACGAUUAUUUUUACAUGCCACACAUUUUGGGAGCGUGCGUGAUUUUAUACGACUAUUGUGUAUUUAAACGAAAUAGAUGAUUUCGAGGAUUGAAAUUUAUUUUACUACGCUUUGUUUACAGCAUUAUUUUACAAGGCACAAAUUGUUGGCUCCAUUAAGUUUUUGAUGAUAAUAAAAUAUUCCCAUUUCAUUUGUGUCUAACAUUUCUACCUAAGUGUGCAGGACAAAAAGUCAUAUGGAAAUAAUGAAUCAACCUUUUGAAUGUAUAUAUCAAGAAUCAUGAAAAUGAAGAAAAAUGAUUGAUCAACUAAAAGGAAAGUCUUUGGUUAAAUAUUGAAGAAUGUUGGUUGACUAAAAUUUAAAUUGGAGAAAUGGGGGGCUGAAGAAUAUUGAGAAACAGAACCAACUUAGUCGACCAAGAAAUGGGUUAGUCGACUAAGUGUGCACUGUCAGGACUGCCAGACACAGGGAGCAGAAAAGAAAGACAACUUAGUCGACCAAGAUAUCGGUUAGUCGACUAAGAGCAUUCUACCUGCAAGUUUGAAAUCUGCACUAAAAGAUAGAGUAACGGCUAGAACCGACUCCCAACUAUCUCCAACGGCUAGAAAACUGUCAAACUCCCAUCAGAGAUGUUUCUCCAAGUAUAAAAGGGUCUUCCAACAGUUGAAAACUAGUUUUUGGAAGUUUUGGAAGAGAUUUGAGUCAUUAAGAGUUGAAAAACCAGAAAAUCUCUCUUGCACCUUACUGCACUUAAACGCCUAUUCUUUGUAUUUGUAUUCUGCACUCAACCUUGUACCAUUUAGAUCAACUUGUGAUCAUAGGUACUUUCUAUUACUUCUCUUCUUGUAUUCUUAGAGUGAGGGAGUCACUCUAAGUGUUUGUUUCAAGCAAGGUUUGCUUGAAUGUGCUAAGGUUCUAACUUAGCCUUGAAAAGUUAGGUGUUGGGUUUUAGUUUAGCCCGUGAAAAACUAGUGUAAAAGGUUUUGGUUGAGCCUUGUAAAAGCCAUUGUAAAGCUUGGUGAAAGCUUGGUGAAAGCUUGUGAAUUUCACCAGUUCUUAGUGGAUUGUUUGGAAAAUCUUUGGUUGGAUAAUCAAGGUAGUGGAUGUAGGUCUUGAACUGAAUCACUCUAAAUUUUGCUGUCUUAUUUACUCUAUUUUUGUUUUAUUUUCUUUCUUUCAUUUAUCUUGCAUUUGUCUACACUUAAAGAUAAUUUUUGAAAGAGCCGAAUUGUCCUAUUCACUCCCCCUCUAGCACAUAUUAUUGAGACCAACAAGUGGUAUCAGAGCUAGUUCCCUGUUCUUAAGGUUUAACACCCUUUAGGAGGAUCCAAAUGGCUAUCCACAAAUCCAUAGUUGCUGAGGGACAAUCAACAAACAGACAACCUCUAUUUGAUGGCUCUAAUUAUCCUUAUUGGAGCACUGGGAUGUCAAUUUACAUUAGAGCUAUAGAUUAUGAAAUGUGGGAUGUCAUAACUGAUGGACCCUUUUAUUCCCUCUACUUUGAAUGUUGUAACCAAUGAGUUGAUGCCUAAGCCAAGGUUUGAAUGGACAGAGGCUGAAACUAAGAAAGUCCAAACAAAUUUUAAAGCCAUCAAUACAUUGCAUUGUGCCUUGACCCCCACUGAAUUCAACAAAGUCUCAAGUUGUACAACAGCUAAACAAGUAUGGGACAAACUUAGAAUAAUCCAUGAAGGGACUUCUCAAGUCAAGGAGUCCAAAAUAGCCGUCUUGACACAUAACUAUGAAAUGUUCAAAAUGGAGCCUGGUGAAGACAUCACCAGCAUACUAGAUAGAUUCACCAACAUCACAAAUAAAUUGAGUCAGCUAGGCAAGCCAAUACUCAAGCAUGAAAUAGUUAAAAGACUUCUUAGAAGCCUACCAAAAAAUUGAAAGCCUAAAGUGACUACAAUUCGAGAGGCCAAGGAUCUAAAUGUGAUUACCUUAGAUGAGAUUUGUGGUUCUCUCCUCACUCAUGAGCUGGAGCUUAAAGAGGAAGAGAAGAUAGGAAAGAAGCAAAGGAAAAGAAAAUAGCAUUACACUUAAAGCUAGCAUCCUUGAAGAAGAGAUGGAAGAGCUGUCAUGUGAUGAUGAUGAAGAGUUAGCUUUGGCUGCAAGAAAAUUCAAAACGCUUAUGGGCAUAAGAAACUAGAGACCAGAUAGAAAAGGGUUUAGAAAAGAUCAAGGUACUUCAUGAAAAAUCAGAAACAAAAAUGACUCCAACAAAAAGGAAGAGUUGAUCUGCUACAAGUGCAAGAAACCUGGCCACUUCAAGUUUGAGUGUCCAUUGCUGAAAGAUGAGACUCCAAAGAAAAACAAGAAAUCCAAGAAAGCAAUGGUGGCAGCUGCAUGGUCGGACAAUGACACAUCAAGCUUUGAAGCUAAAGAUGAAAAAUCUAAGGAAAGAGCAAACCUCUGUUUGAUGGCACAAGAUGAGGAAACCGAGGUAUCCUCAUCCCCCUGUGAUAUUUCCAUUGAUGAUUUACAAGAUGAGUAUGACAGCCUUUAUGAUGACUUUGAAAAACUUUUUUCAAAAUAUAAGAAUCUAAAGAAAAAAGCUACAUCUCUUGAAAAUGAUUUGGAAAAAGUGAGACAAGAGUUCAAUUUUGUUUUUGAGCAAAUAAAUUUUUUGCAAAUUGAGUUAGAACACUCAAAAACAGAUUUUGAAGUUUUAAAGCUAGAGCUGGAAAAUAAAUUAGAAGCUUUACAAAAAACACUUGAUGAAAACACAGCUCUCAAAUGUUCAAAAAGAAAUGCAUAGCACAAGAAGAAUUCUGCUUUUGCAUCACCUAAAUGUUAUAGUUGUGGAAAACAUGGACAUUUAUCAUAUGAUUGUUUUAAGAAAAGUAACCUGCAGAAAGUUAGAAAGAUUUGGGUUCCUAAAAGAUCUUAUAUUACAACUAACACUCAAGGACCCAUCAAAGUAUGGGUACCUAUAAAGAAAAACUAAAAUUUUAUUUCGUAGGUUGAGCUGCACUUAAAGGAGACAUGUUCAAGAGCUCAACUCAAGAAGAAACAGCCUUGGUAUAUGGACAGUGGUUGUUCACAGCACAUGACAGGAGAUGAAAUGAUGUUUGCUCAGCUAGACAAGAGGAAGGGAGGUACUGUAUCCUUUGGAGAUGAUUCAAAAGGUAGAAUUCAUGGAAUAGGUACGGUUGGUAAGAACUCCCAAACACAAAUUAGUCAUGUGUUGUUAGUGAAGGGUUUAAAGCAUAAUUUAUUGAGUAUUAGUCAAUUAUGUGACAAAGGAUUUAACGUAUGUUUUGAUUCAAAUAAGUGUGAAGUAAUAGACAUAUGAACAAAUAAAGUCUCAUUUAUAGGAAAGAGAUUGAAGAAUAUAUAUGUUGUUUUUCUUAAGGAUCUUGAAAUAAAUAGUGAAAUAUGUCUUGUUGCAAAUACUGAAAAUGACAACUGGUUAUGGCAUAGGAGAUUAGGACAUGUAAGCUUGCAUACUAUGUCAAAAUUGAUUAGAAAGAACUUAGUUGUUGGGCUGUCGAAUUUAAAAUUUGAAAAUGAGAAAAUAUGUGAUGCUUGCCAACUAGGAAAACAAGUUAGAACAUCCUUUAAAGCUAAGAAAGCUGUAUCAACAUCUAAACCUCUUGAAUUGUUACACAUUGAUCUAUUUGGUCCAAUAAGUACAACUAGUUUAGGAGGAAAAUCUUAUGGCUUUGUAAUAGUUUAUGACUAUUCUAGGUAUAGUUGGGUUUAUUUUCUUGCUCAUAAGAAUGAUGCUUUAUCAACAUUUAUAAGUCAUUGUAGGAAAGUAGAGAAUGAAAAAAAACUAGCCAUAGUUAGUAUAAGAAGUGAUCAUGGAGGAGAAUUUGAAAGUGAUGAAUUUUAGAAAUUUUGCAAUGAAAGGGGGUUAGAUCACAAUUUCUCUGCACCUAGAACACCCCAGCAAAAUGGAGUUGUAGAGAGGAAAAAACAAACCUUAAAGGAAAUGGCUAGGACUAUGCUAUGUGAGAAUAACCUACCAAAAUAUUUUUGGGCUGAGGUAGUGAACAUGACAGCUUAUAUACUUAAUAGAGUCUCAAUAAGACCCAUGAUAUCUAAGACACCAUAUGAACUUUACAAGGGUAGGAAACCAAAUAUUUCUCACCUUAGGGGUUUUGACUGUAAAUGCUUUAUGUUGAACAAUAGAAAAUAGCCCUUAGGAAAGUUUGAUGCAAAGAGUGAUGAAGCAAUAUUUUUAAGAUAUGCAUUAAACUCAAAGGCGUAUAGGAUUUUUAACAAAAGGACUUUAACUGUUGAAGAAUCAAUCCAUGUAGUUUUUGAUGAGUCAAAUGCUUUACAAAAGGAAAUUCAUGUUGAUGAUGAUGAUGUAGAAAUCUUAGAAAAAUAAAUGGAAGAAAUGAGCUUAGAGAACAAUAAGAAUAAUGAAGAGAGCUCACCUAGAAGAGAAAAUGAAACUCCAUCUCUAGAAAAUUUGCAAAGAACAGAAAAUGAACAUAGUGACCUUCCAAGGAGUUAGAGAUUUGUAAAAGACCAUCCACAAGACCAAAUCAUAGGUGACAUUUCUCAAUGAGUUAGAACUAGGAGAGCAACAAGAGAGACUUGUGAGUUUUCAGCCUUCAUAUCACAAAUUGAACCUAAAAACUUUGAAGAAGCUGAAAAUGAGGAAAGUUGGAUAAUGGCCAUGCAAGAGGAACUUGAUCAAUUCAAAAGAAAUCAUGUAUGGUCACUAGUACCUAGACCUUCAAAUCACCCUAUUGUUGGCAUAAAAUGAGUGUUUAGAAAUAAGGUAGAUGAGCUAGGAAAUGUAGUUAGAAAUAAAGCUAGGUUAGUAGCCCAAGGAUACAACCAAGAGGAAGGAAUAAACUAUGAUGAAACCUUUGCACCCGUUGCUAGGAUUGAAGCCAUAAGGUUGUUGCUUGCUUUUGCAUGCUUCAUGAAUUUUAAAUUGUACCAAAUGGAUGUAAAGAGUGCAUUUCUAAAUGGAUUCAUUCAAGAGGAAGUGUAUGUUCAACAGCCACUAGGUUUUGAAGAUUUUGAAAAGCCAGAUCAUGUUUUCAAACUUCACAAAGCCUUGUAUGGAUUGAAACAAGCUCUUAAAGCUUGGUAUGAGAGGCUUUCAAAAUUUCUGGUUGAAAAAGGUUAUGUUACAAGCAGCAUUGAUACUACAUUGUUUAUUAAAAGAUACUUAAAUGAUUUAAUUAUUGUACAAAUAUAUGUGGAUGACACUGUAUUUGGUGCAACUAAUGAGGCUUUAUGCAAGAACUUUGCUAAAGAAAUGCAGGGUGAAUUUGAGAUGAGCAUGAUGGGAGAGUUGAAGUACUUUCUUGGUCUUCAAAUUAAACAAGGUGAGGAAGGAAUCUUCAUCAACCAAGAAAGAUACACUCAAGAUAUGCUCAAAAAGUUCGAUAUGCUAAAGCUGAAACCUAUUUCCACACCAAUGAGUCCAUCCACCAAACUUGAUCAAGAUGAAAAAGGAAAAAAUGUAGAUCAAAAGCUUUAUAUAGGUAUGAUCGAUUCACUACUCUACUUAACAGCAAGCAGACCAGAUAUUCAGUUUAGUGUGUAUUUGUGUGCUAGAUUUUAGUCACAGCCUAAAGAAUCACACCUAACAACUAUUAAGAGAAUUUUUAUAUACCUCUUAGAAACUUAAACUUUAGGAUUAUGGUAUUCUAGAGAAUCAUCAUUUGAUCUUGUAGGUUAUUCGGAUGCAAACUUUGCAAGAAGCAAAACUAAUAGAAAAAGUACUAGUGGAACAUGCCAAUUUCUAGGAAGUAUGCUAGUAUCCUGGUCAAGUAAGAAACAAAACUCUGUAGCACUUUCAACAGUUGAAGCAGAGUAUAUUUCUCUAGGUAAUUGUUGUGCUCAGAUUUAGUGGAUUAAACAAUAACUAAGAGAUUUUGGAAUUAAAGUUCAUAAUGUACCAAUCUUCUAUGAUAACACAAGUGCAAUCAAUAUAUGUAAAAAUCUUGUGCAACAUUCUAAGACAAAGCACAUUGAGAUUAGGCACCAUUUUGUAAGAGAUCAUAUAGUAAAAAGUGAUAUCAAGAUUGAAUUUGUGAAUACUUUGCAUCAAUUAGCAGAUAUUUUUACAAAACCCCUAAAUGAAGAUAGAUUUUGAGAAAUUAAAAGGAAUUUAGGUAUGAUUAGUCUGCAGAAAUUCUGAGAAAAAUCUUGACUUAUGCACAUAAAACAGAAUGCAUUUAGUCGACUAAGGUGAAUCUUAGUCAACUAAAAGUGCUUUGUUAGUCUUAAAUAAUAAGACUCAGUCAAAUAAAAGAAGAAAAGAAUAAAAUAAUGUGCACCAGGCAAUAAAGAAAAGAAGAAAAAAUCGCCUAAGAGAGUAACCAAAAUUUAGAGGGAAUUUGAAAAAAAAUUUUUAAGCAAAUGAAGUGAGGCAAUUUUUAAGGGGGAGGCGGACAGUUUUCUAAGGGAAAUUAAUACUGCUGACAACUUCUUUUUCUGCAUUUUCUCUCCCCCGAAACUCGGCAUCUGAUGCUGAAACCCAUUCUCUCUACAUUCUCACCUCUGAAACCGACUAACACAAAACCAAAACCCUCGAGCCCCGAUCAGAAAUCUUCAGAAUCGAAAUGGCAAAGACCUCUCAGAGUAAGGAAAUCAUUGAAAAAAAGAAAGGAAAAAGGCCACUGGUAGAAGGGUCAAAAGCAGAAAUGCUGAAGAAGAAACAAAAAAUCGAGUUUGCAUCAAAGAGUAGAAAAUCUGAAAAAUAGCAAAAGGAAAAAGAACAAAAAACAGAUAAGAAGAAAUAAAAGGGAAAAACAGCAAAGAAAGGUAAAUCUCUGUCCUCCAAAUUUAGAAACAAAAUUCAUGAGGAUAGGUUCCAGAAAAUUGAAAUUGCACCAAUCACUUGUGGGAAAUUUAUUGACUGGAAUAGUUUUAAUGAAGUGCCUAAAUUUAAAGCAGUUUUUUCAGACUAUUUUGAGGAGAUGAAACUGAAAUAUUUCAGUACUUUUAAGAAUCGAGCUUAUAGUGCAAGUUUGGUUAAAGAAUUUUAUUCUAGUAUAGCAGUUGAGAAUGAUGAAUUGGAGGAGUCAGAUGAUUAUCUUGAGAAUGGCUUGAAUGUAUUUUUAAAUGGGAAAGAAUUUACUAUGACUGCUACUGAUUUGGGCAGUUUACUUAACAUUGAAUGUGAGGAGGGUGAGUUUGAAUUCCCAGAAAACUAUGAUCCUUCAUCCUUAUGGGAAGUGAUUAUUGGAAAGAAAGAAAAAUAUUCUUCUAAAAGUAAUGCUGGUUUGAUCACUAGUCCAUAAAUUCAAAUAUUGCAUUAUUUCAUUGUUGCUAAUGCUCAUGGAAGAGGGGGAAGCUUUAGUUAUAAUAGUCUGCAGGACCUUUGGCUAAUGGAACAUGCCUUCAACGAAAGUCCAUUAAACCUAGGAAGAUUUAUGAUUGAGAGAAUGAAAGGAGCUUGUAGAUUGGAAAAGAUUAAUCUGCCAUAUGGGAAUAUCAUUACUGCACUGGUCCAGAAAAAGGGGAUUUGGAGUUCAAGAUAUGCAAUGGAUCAGGUAAAGAGUAGAGAUCAAUCUAUAUACCUUGGGAGUUUAUCUAAGAUGGGAUACAAACUUGAAGAAGAAAAAUAUGUUAAAACUCCCAAAGUAACUCCUAGAGGAGAACCUUCACUCCCAGCUCAGUCAGAGGCAGCAUCCUCACAAUUUUUCAGUGAAAUGAUCUUCAAUCUAUUGAUGAGGAUAGAUGGACAGCUCACUGAUCAAGAAGCUAGAUUGCAGAGGAUUGAAGAGAAAGUUACUGCACUAGAAAAUGAACUAAAGGGGAAAGAAAAGCCAUCAAAACCUGCUGCUACAAAUUCGUCUGAAACACCAAGUGUUGCAUCAACACAGCAAGGUGCUAAGGAUUCAGCUUUGCAAGCAGAAGGGUCUGCUCCUCAUGAAGCAAGUUAUGGUGUUCAAGUUGAAGGUCAUGAGCCAGAAAAGGAACAACCAAGAAAAUCACUCUUUCUUGAGCUAAAAGACAAGGUUGAAUCUGACCAAGAAAACACCCCCACUAAACCCCAGCCUCAACCAGAACCUCAACCAUCUCCUCCACAUUCUGAAAAGGUUUUAAUCAUGGGAUUGUUCCAUCAAGUGGUUUAGUAGGAACAAGUUGAGAAAGAAGCAGUUAAGGGAGGUGCUCAGCAAACAGCAUCUACACCAGCCCUUAGAAUGAAGGCAAAAUCUGGAAAAGGGAAACAAAAAGUUACUGCAGCACAACAGCCAAAGACAAAACCACCCACCAAAGAAAAGAAAACAAUGGCAAUAAAAACAUAAUUUCUUAAGAGAAGAAAGUCCACCUGAUUGGCAGAAAAGUCUAAGCCAACACCUGCUUCUUCUCCUCAGGAACCAUUAGAAGCAUCUGACUCACCCUUGCCUGAUCCCUUUUCCUAAGAAUUACCUCCAAAAUCCUCUCCUCAACCCUUAGAUGUCAAAUAUUACAUUGAUGAUGAGUCAUCUCCCUCAUUCUCCUCGGCAGAUGCUUAAGACUUGAUGUUGACAAAAAAAAGGAGAAGACCAGCAGAACCUUAGAGGGAGAAGGAACCAAGAAAUUAAAUAAAAAAAAAUGUUAGGGUGAAGGAACCAGGAAUUUAGGAAAGAAAGCAUAAAUGAACCAGGGGUAAUUUAGGAAUAUUUUCUAUUUUUUUGCUAUUUGUGCCAUGAUGGCAAUUAAACACUUAACUUUGAUCUUGUUGUUUAUAUCUUUUUUGGAAAAUUGGAUGUUGAUAUAUUUAUGGCACUUUGCUGAUAUGUUCAUGGUAUUUUGAUGUUAAUAAUGGAACAACUUGCUGAUAUCUUAUUGUUUAUGAUAAUUUAACUGUUGUUGACAAAAGUCUGUUACUGCACUGAUGAUAGGAUUUGUGUACUGAUCUUUAUUAUAAAUUAUGAUUAUGAAUGGAUAUGGAUGCUGUGUAUAGUAUAUCAGUUGAAUGAUGAAUGACAAAGACAAAAUCUGAUAACUGUUGACAGACACUACAAAAUUUUGAUGAAAAUCUGUCAACAUUUAUUUGCUGCAAAUCACCUUAUAUUUUUGCACAUAUAUACUCUGGAUGUAUAUACAUAAUGUGAAUAAAUUUUGCUGGAAUAAAUAAGCAAAAUAUGCACACACUAACGGGGAACACUCACUUAGGGGGAGCAAUCCUCAUUUUCUGCAAAAAUUAAAAGGAAUUAAAGGGCAUUGUGCUGUUAAUCAAGGAAUGUUUUGUCAUCAUCAAAAAGGGGAGAUUGUUGGCUCCAUUAAGUUUUUGAUGAUAAUAAAACAUUCCCAUUUCAUUUGUUUUUAACAUUUCUACCUAAGUGUGCAGGACAAAAAGUCAUAUGCAAAUAAUGAAUUAACCUUCUGAAUGUAUAUAUCAAGAAUCAUGAAAAUGAAGAAAAAUUAUUUAUCAACUAAAAGGAAAGUCUUUGGUUAAAUAUUGAAGAAUGUUGGUUGACUAAAAUUUAAAUUGGAGAAAUGGCGAGCUGAAGAAUAUUGAGAAAUAGAACUAACUUAGUCGACCAAGAAAUGGGUUAGUCGACUAAGAAGCUACUGCCAAAAUCUGGACUUUAAGACAGAACCAACUUAGUCGACCAAGAAAUGGGUUAGUCGACUAAGUGUGCACUGCUAGGACUACUAGACAUAGGGAGCAGAAAACAGAGACGACUUAGUCGACCAAGAUAUCAGUUAGUCGACUAAGAGCAUUCUGCUUGCAAGUUUGAAAUCUACACUAAAAGACAGAGUAACGGCUAGAACCGACUCCCAACUGUCUUCAAAGGCUAGAAAACUGUCAAACUCCCAUCAGAGAUAUUUCUCCAAGUAUAAAAGGGUCUUCCAACAGUUGGAAACUAGUUUUUGGAAGUUUUAGAAGAGAUUUGAGUCAUUAAGAGCUAAAAAACAAAAAAAUUUCUCUUGCACCUUACUUCACUUAAACGCUCAUUCUUUGUAUUUGUAUUCUACACUUAACCUUGUACCAUUUAGAUCAACUUGUGAACAUAGGUACUUUCUAUUACUUAUUUUCUUGUAUUCUUAGAGUGAGGGAGUCACUCUAAGUGUUUGUUUCAAGCAAGGUUUGCUUGAAUGUGUUAAGGCUCUAACUUAGCCUUGAAAAGUUAGGUGUUGGGUUUUAGUUUAGCCCGUGACAAACUAGUGUAAAAGGUUUUGGCUAAGCCUGGUAAAAACCAUUCUAAAGCUUGGUGAAAGCUUGUGAAUUUUAACGGUUCUUAGCGGAUUGUUUGGAAAAUCCUUGGUUGGAUAAUUAAGGUAGUGGAUGUAGGUCUUGGACCGAACCACUCUAAAUUCUGCUAUCUUGUUUACUCUGUUUUUGUUUUAUUUUCUUUCUUUCAUUUAUCUUGCAUUUGUCUACACUUAGAGACAAUUUUUGAAAGAGCUGAAUUGUGCUAUUCACCCUCCGUCUAGCACAUAUUAUUGGGACCAACACAAAUACUUUACUUGUUAUUUGGUUUUAUAAGGUUAUCAUUUUAUAUUCUAGUUUUAUUACUCAAAUGAUCUGCUCUAAGCUUGUUUUCCAUCUAUGCCCUGCUCACAGAGCCGAUGAUCACUGAGUUUGUGAGACUUACCCCUCUUAUCUCUCUUUUGUAGAUAAGUGAUCAACCUAGCGUGCAUUUAUUGGCAUCUAUUGUCUACCGCGGAUAGGUAAAGGCAUUUCAUAGCAUUUUAUCCAGAGUUGCUUCGCUGCUAGAGGUCGAGUCAUCAUAGUGUAUUUUGUUAUGAAAAUAGACAUUAGUGUUAAUACGAAUGUACAUUUGGAGAUUUUAGACUAUAAUGUAUUUUUUUAUAACUAUGUGGAAUAAAGUUUAAGUUAAUCUAUUAUUACUAUUGUUCCAAAUCAUAUCACAAAGAGUUAUACGGAUCAAAGCAAUUACAUAAAAUGGUGGAACGAAUAUAAUGAAUUAACAAGAGUUUCUAAUAAGGCUUGUUUGGGACUUGGUAGGUUCUCUCGAAAGUCUCAGAUGCCAGUAACGAUCGAGGAGCGGUCGUUACAGGUUGCCUAAUGAUGAUCAAAAUGCUCAUAUUGUAAAUUUUUUGGAAAUUUACAAUACAUUCAAGGUUAAUGGUGUUACUGAUGAUGCCAUAAGAUUGAGGCUUUUCCCUUUUUCAUUGAGAGAUAAGGCUAAACGUUGGUUAAACUCACUUUUUGUUUUCUUCCAUUAAUACUAGGGAUGAUUUGGCUCAUAAAUUCUUAGCAAAACUCUUGCCACCUGCCAAGACAGCAAAGAUGAGGAAUGAUAUCACUUCUUUCAUGCAAUUUGAUUUUGAAUCACUAUAUGAGGCUUAGGAGAGGUAUAAGGAUUUGAUAAGAAGGUGUCCUCACCAUGCAUUACCUAAGUGGCUACAAGUUCAGACUUUUUAUAAUGGUGUGCUGGGACUUUUUAAAACUACCAUUGAUGUUGUAGCUGAAGGUGUACUCAUGAGUAAAUCCAUUGACGAGGCUAAUGAUUUUCUUGAAGAGAUGGCUUCAAUAACUAUCAAUGGCCAUCUAAAAGAUUGGGUACAAGACAAAUUACUGGAGUUUAUGAAUUAGAUGUGAUGAAUACUUUAUCUACACAAUUGGCUUCUUUCACAAAGAAAAUAGAUAAACUGAGUGUUAAUGCUAUUCAGAACCCCUUUGUGACGUGUGAAUUUUGUGGAAAAGGAUAUUUUAAUGAUAAUUGUCCCAUCUACUCUGAAUCUUAUCAAUUUGUUAGAAAUAGGCAAUAGAAUAAUCCUUAUUCUAACACUUAUAAUCCUGGUUGGAGGAAUCAUCCUAAUUUCUCAUGGAGCAACAACGAAAGGUCUUCAUCAACAUUUAAGUCAAACUUUCCUCCUAGAUUUCCAUCUAGAGCCCUCAUGCUAGAGAAAAAGCCUUUCAAUGAAGGAGAUGUUCAUGUAAAACAUGGCAAAGACUGACGCAUUCAUUCAAAGUCAAAUAGCAUCAAUAAGAAAUCUUGAGACACAAGUAGGCCAACUUCCUAAUGCUCUAAAUAACAAACCUUAUGGCACCUUACCAAAUGAUACUGAGCCCAAUCCAAGAAGAGAAGGUAAGAAACAUUGUAAGGCAAUUAAUCUUCGUAAUGGGAAAAAGGUAAGUCAAAAGGUAAGUCGUAAAGUCUUAAAUCCUAAAACUUCAAUUCAAUUUGAUAAGAAAGAAAUUGAAAAAACUACUAAAAAAAAAAUUAUGGUUGAACAAUCUAUUGAAAAUUCAAAAGAAGAAAAAUCACAAUUAAAAUUUGUUCCCACACCUCCACCACUUUUUCUUCAAAGAUUUCAAAAGGAAAAAAUUGAUAAACAAUUUCAGAGAUUUAUUGAUGUGUUUAAAAAGUUACAUAUUAAUAUCCUUUUGCUGAAGCUUUGGAACAAAUGCCAAGAUAUGUUAAAUUUUUGAAAGACAUCUUGUCUAAAAAAAGGAAAUUGGAUGAGUUUGAAACUAUUGCACUUACUGAGAGUGUAGUGCCAUCAUUCAGAAUAAGCUUCCACCAAAGCUUAAAAAUCCAUGUAGUUUUAAUAUUCACUGCACUAUUAGUGCUUUUUAUUUUGCUAAAGCUUUAUAUGAUUUUGGUGCAAGUAUAAAUUUGAUGCCAUUGUCCAUUUAUAAAAAAAUUGGGUUUGAAAGAGAUUAAGCCAACUAUUAUGACUUUACAACUUGUUGAUCGAUCCAUCACCUAUCCUUAUGGUAUUGUGGAAGAUGUUUUGGCAAAAGUUAGUAAGUUUAUUUUUUUAGUAGAUUUUAUUAUUCUAGGUAUGGAAAAAUAUCGUGAAAUAUCGAUCAUUCUUAGGAGACCAUUCUUGAGAACUGCUCGAGCUCUAAUUGAUGUGAAAAAAUGUGAGCUUACUUUAAGAGUUGAAGAUCAACAGGUAACAUUCAGUCUUUUUAGAGCUUUAAAAUUUUCCAAUGAACAUGAUGAAUGUUUCUCAAUUAAUGUGGUGGAUGACAUAACUCAUAAUGUGUUUAUAGAAAAUCAUCAUGAUCCACUAGAAACUUCUUUGAAUUUUUCAUGUGAUGUUAUUGAUGAAAAAGUUAUUGAAUAUGCUAACCAUCUUGAUGCCCCAUCACGUCUCUCAAAAUCCCAAUUUGAGUCUUUGAAAUGAUCAAUUACAACUUCACCAACCAAUCCUUCUAUUGAAUAAUCUCCUUCAUUUGAGCUCAAACCACUGCCUACUCAUUUAAGGUACACUUUUUUGGGAAAUUCUUCUACACUUCCAGUAAUUAUUUAUUCUUCUUAUUCUGAUGAAUAGAAAAAUAAACUUCUUCGAGUUUUAAGAGACUACCAAAAAGCAAUGGGGUGGACCAUUACAGACAUCAAAGAAAUUAGUCCAUCAAUUUGCAUGCACAAAAUUCUUUUGGAAGAAAAUCAUAAAGCAACCAUUGAGCAUCAACGAAGGCUGAAUCCGAUCAUGAAAGAGGUAGUAAAGAAAGAACUUAUCCAGUGGCUAGAUGCAGGUAUUAUCUAUCCUAUUUUUGAUAAUUCAUGGGUAAGUCUAGUCCAUUGUGUCCCUAAGAAAGUAGGUAUAACUGUAAAUUCUAAUGAAAAUAAUGAGCUCAUUUUCGCUAAAACUGUGACUGGUGGGAGGGUAUGUAUGGACUAUAGAAAUUGAACAAAGCCACAAGAAAAGAUCACUUUUCACUCCCUUUUAUUGAUCAAAUGCUUGAUAGACUAGUAGGUAAAGAUUUUUAUUGCUUUUUGGAUGGUUAUUUUGGUUAUAAUCAAAUUACCAUUGCACCUAAAGACCAAGAAAAAACCACUUUUACUUGUCCUUAUGGAACUUUUGCUUUUCAUAGAAUGCCUUUCGAACUUUGUAAUGCUCCAGCCAUGUUUUAGAGAUGUAUGAUAGUAAUUUUUUUUUUAUCUAGUUAAAAAGUUUUUGGAAGUAUUUAUGGACGAUUUUUCAAUAUUUGCGAAUAAUUUUGAUGAUUAUUUAUUUAAUCUUGCUAGAGUACUUAAAAGAUGUGAACAAACUAAUUUAGUUUUAAAUUGGAAAAAAUGUCACUUUAUGGUGCAAGAAGGCAUAGUCUUAGGCCAUCGAGUCUCUAGUAAAGGUUUAGAAGUAGAGAAAGCAAAAAUCAAAACAAUUGAAAAGCUUUCACCUUUUACCUCUAUUAAGAGAAUUUGUAGUUUUUUAAGAUGUGUUGGAUUUUAUAGGAGAUUCAUUAGAGAUUUUUCUAAAAUUUCUAAUCCACUUUGUAAUUUGUUAGAAAAGGAUACUCUUUUUAAUUUUGAUGAUGAUGCUUGCCAUGAUGCUUUUGUUAAAUUGAAGAAAAGAUCAAUUUUUGCUCCUAUUAUCACUGUUCUUGAUUGGAAUCUUCCUUUUGAACUAAUGUGUGAUGCUAGUGAUUAGUAGUUGUGAAGUUUUUGGUCAACGAAAAGCAAAGAUUUUGCAUCCUAUUUAUUAUGCUAGCAGAACAUUGACUGAGGCUCAAGCAAAUUACACCACAAUUGAAAAGGAGUUGCACGCUAUUGUUUUUGCUUUCGAUAAAUUUCGAUCUUAUCUUGUUGGCACUAUAGUCAUUGUUCACACUGACCAUGCAUCUAUUAAAUAUCUGAUCAAGAAAAAGGAUGCAAAACCACAUUUGAUAAGAUGGGUACUUUUGCUUCAAGAAUUCGAUUUGGAAAUCCGAGAUAGGAAAGGUACAAAAAAUCAAGUGAAAGAUCAUUUAUCUAGAUUGGAGAAUGGAGAACAAAUUAGGAAUUUAACAGUGAUCAAUGAAACCUUUCCUGAUAAGCAAUUGUUUCAUGUUGAAAAGCAAAAAAUUUGACCAUUGUAUGCUAAUUUUGUGAACUAUCUCGUCCGUAAACUCUUCCCUCUUUUAUUCAAUUCACAACAAAAGAAGAAAUUCUUGCAUGAUGUUAAAUAUUACAUGUGGGAUGAGCUUUUUCUUUACAAGCAUUGUGGAGAUCAACAAAGUGAGUUCUUAAAAAAGAAUUUGAAAAUAUUCUUCACCAUUGCCAUUCAUCUAAUUAUGGAGGAUAUUAUAAGGGAAGACGAACUACUGCAAAGGUUCUAUAAUCAGGUUGUUAUUGGCUUUCUCUUUUCAAAGAUGGUCAUAAUUUUGUUGAAAGAUGUGAAAGAUGUCAAAGAAUGGGUAAUAUAUCCAAAAGACAUGAGGUGCCUCUCAACAAUAUCUUGGAAGUUGAAAUUUUUGAUGUGUGGGGAAUUGAUUUUAUAAGUCCAUUCAUUCCAUCCUUCAAUAAUAAAUACAUCCUGCUUACUGUUGAUUAUGUCUCUAAAUGGGUUGAAGCUGUUGCAUUACCAAGUAACAAUUCUAAGGUAGUGAUAAACUUUUGCAAAAGAACAUCUUUACAUGUUUUGGUACACGUAGAGCCAUAAUUAGUGAUGAAAUGACUCACUUCUCCAAUAAAAAUUUUGAGGCAAUCUUGGCCAAAUAUGGAGUUAAGCACCAAAUAGCUACUACUUAUCAUCCUCAAAUAAGUGGCCAAGCUGAAGUUUCAAAUCGAGAAAUUAAAAGAAUUUUAGAGAAUAUCAUUUGGCCUUCCAGAAAAGAUUGGUCAAAAAAGUUGGAUGGUGCUUUAUGGGCUUAUAGAACUACAUAUAAAACUCCAAUUGGAAUGUCUCCUUGUAGAUUGGUGUUUGGAAAAGCUUGUCAUCUUCCAAUAUAACUUGAACACAAGGCAUAUUAGGCAAUUAUGA